GGAACCUGCGGAAGGA
rnacentral:rRNA from 1 species